GCUGCCGUGGUGGUUAUGGCCUUCGACGAGGAGGGUCAGGUGAGACUGUCAGACGCUACGGGGCUGCCGUGGUGGUUAUGGCCCUCGACGAGGAGGGUCAGGUGAGACUGUCAGACGCUACGGGGCUGCCGUGGAGGUUAUGGCCUUCGAUGAGGAGGGUCAGGUGAGACUGUCAGACGCUACGGGGCUGCCGUGGAGGUUAUGGCCUUCGACGAGGAGGGUCAGGUGAGACUGUCAGACGCUACGGGGCUGCCGUGGUGGUUAUGGCCCUCGACGAGGAGGG